rnacentral:rRNA from 1 species
GUGGGGAAUAUUGGACAAUGGGCGAAAGCCUGAUCCAGCCAUGCCGCGUGAGUGAUGAAGGCCUUAGGGUUGUAAAGCUCUUUCAGUAGGGAAGAUAAUGACGGUACCUACAGAAGAAGCCCCGGCUAACUUCGUGCCAGCAGCCGCGGUAAUACGCAGGGGGCUAGCGUUGUUCGGAUUUACUGGGCGUAAAGCGCACGUAGGCGGAUUGGUCAGUUAGAGGUGAAAUCCUGGAGCUCAACUCCAGAACUGCCUUUAAUACUGCCAGUCUAGAGUCCAGAAGAGGUGAGUGGAACUCCUAGUGUAGAGGUGGAAUUCGUAGAUAUUAGGAAGAACACCCGUGGCGAAGGCGGCUCACUGGUCUGGUACUGACGCUGAGGUGCGAAAGCGUGGGGAGCAAACAGGAUUAGAAACCCUUGUAGUCC